rnacentral:rRNA from 1 species
AACGAACGCUGGCGGCAUGCCUAACACAUGCAAGUCGAACGAGACCUUCGGGUCUAGUGGCGCACGGGUGCGUAACGCGUGGGAACCUGCCCUUAGGUUCGGAAUAACUCCCCGAAAGGGGUGCUAAUACCGGAUAAUGUCUUCGGACCAAAGAUUUAUCGCCUUUGGAUGGGCCCGCGUUGGAUUAGCUAGUUGGUAGGGUAAAAGCCUACCAAGGCGACGAUCCAUAGCUGGUCUGAGAGGAUGAUCAGCCACACUGGGACUGAGACACGGCCCAGACCCCUACGGGAGGCCGCAGUGGGGAAUAUUGGACAAUGGGCGGAAGCCUGAUCCAGCAAUGGCGGGUGAGUGAUGAAGGCCUUAAGGUUGUAAAGCCCUUUUACCCGGGAUGAUAAUGACAGUACCGGGAGAAUAAGCUCCGGCUAACUCCGUG